AACUAAACGGGAUUGAAGUGGCAGCUCCCGGUUUUUAUUUAAAAUCGGGACUAUAACGAAAAGCCCGACGGACU
rnacentral:sRNA from 1 species